UCCUCCUUGGCGCAAUUGGCUAGCGCGUUCGACUGUUAUUACAUUGUUCUCAGUGUUCUGCAAUCGAGAGGUUCACAGUUCAAGCCUGUGAGGGUAUG
rnacentral:tRNA from 1 species